GGAGAGAUGUCCGAGUGGUCGAAGGAGCACGCCUGGAACGCGUGUAUAGGGGCAACUCUAUCAGGGGUUCAAAUCCCCUUCUCUCCGCCA
rnacentral:tRNA from 3 species